rnacentral:lncRNA from 1 species
AGAGCAAAGUGGUGGCCUGCCCAUCCUGCCAAAGACAGCACUCGCUCGUCUGUCCAACUACCCUGACAGGAUUGUUUCUACCAGGACAGAUGAUAAUGGAAGUCCAUCUACCCUGACAGGAUUGUUUCUACCAGGACAGGUGAUAAUGGAAGUCCAUCAACCCUGACAGGAUUGUUUCUGGAAAGUGCUGUCUAUAUACACAGUGUUUCUCAAACUUAAAGUGAGUCUUGUUUGUGGGCUGCCAACAUUUAACAUAAAAAUGGAAUUUAACACCUAACAACCACACCAACAUGAU